UUGUAAAUGUUUUAUUUUGAACAACAAAGAAAAGCUUGGAAAGUUUGAUUCAAAAACGGAUAUUGGUAUUUUUCUUGGCUAUUCAUCUACUAGUAAAGCUUAUAGAAUUUUCAAUAAGAGAACUCUAAUUAUUGAAGAAUCUAUGCAUGUGGUAUUUGAUGAAUCUUGCAAUAAUAUUUCUAAUGAGUCUAUUUGUAGUGAUGAUUUAGAAAGAAAUUUUGGAGACUUACUCGUUAGUGACAACGGCAAGGAAAUUGUUACGAGUAAAGAAGAGGUGAGCUUAAAGGAAGAAGGUUCUUCAUCAAUGCCAAAAGAAUGGAGGUAUGCCUUGUCUCAUCCCAAAGACUUGAUUCUUGGUGAUCUCGAACAAGGAUGCCGAAAAUGAUGAGUUUUGGAUUUUAGCCAUGCAAGAAGAGCUAAAUCAAUUUGAAAGGAACAAAGUUUGGGAAUUAGUCCCGAGGCCAUCUAAUACUUCUAUUAUUGGAACCAAAUGGGUUUUUAGAAAUAAAAUGGAUGAAAAUGGGAAUAUCAUGAGAAAUAAAGCUAGACUUGUAGCUCAAGGUUAUUGUCAAGAGGAAGGCAUAGAUUAUGAAGAAACUUUUGCACCCGUUGCUAGAUUAGAAGCUAUUAGAAUGUUACUUGCUUUUGCUUCUUACAAAAAUUUUGUAUUAUAUCAAAUGGAUGUGAAAAGUGCAUUUUUGAA